AAAGGUCAUAAUACCACUUAACGUAAUAAAACUAUCCUGUGUACAACCAAAAACGCACAAAUCCCAUCUCCAGAAGAGGAGGUGAACUUCUUUAGUGAUGUUUACUCUUCUGAUAUCCCAUAACUUAAAUACUGUGAGGUAAAAUUAACAAUACUUCAGCACUAAAAUAAAGUCAAUAAAUUAUAUGUUAAUGCUAAAUGAGUAAGAGGAAAGAAAACAGAUAUCUGUGUAAGAUAUAUGUAUCUAUGCAUGAAGGUAUUAACAAAAUAGGGAGGAAAUAGUCAUGACAAUUACAGUCCUCAAUUCUGUUAACUGAUCAUGUGGGUAUAGCUGGUAUUUAUAACUACUUUCUUCUAUUGUAUAUGCUGUAUUCCCUUUGCCUUCAACUUCAGCAAGAACCUCAGCUGGUUGUGGUUCUCUACCUGGUGGGGUGACACAAAUCUUCAUUCCUAAAGAGUCUGGGCCAUUUGUAGUCCUGCCUGGAUUCAGUUAUUGUCUAAUAGUUUGCCAUUGACCUUAAUCAAAGGGCAUGGUAAAACCUGUAUUUCACACAUUCUUCCUUAUCUCCAUGGUGGAGUAAUAAACAGUCCAAUUUCACCCUUGGUAGUGCAGAUCAAUUACCCCAGCCAACACCUUAACUCCCUUCUUAGCCUAUUGACUCAGAGGCAUGUAGAGACCAACUGGCCAGGUGGCAGUUUUAAACUUCCAAUUUAAUGAAAUUACUGUUGUGUCUGCUGGUAAAAGUAUUCCUCCCUCUGGAACUAAUGCCAGCGAAACAAGUCACUGUAACAGAAAACAUUUUGCUGGUGGGUCACUAGGGGCAAUGGUGAGUGGUACCACUCCCAUUUUCACCUCGAUUGCUGGACCCAUGAGUCCUGGAUAUGGGAAAAACAGUAUCAUAUAUUGGAUGCUGAUUCAGAGUAUAUACAGCCUCCUAAAGAACCUUGUUCCAGUCCUUCACAGUAUUAUCACCUAGCUAGCACUGGAACUGUGACUUCAGAAGGUCAUUCUGCCAUUCUAUCAAGCCAGCUGCUUCGGCAUGACGGAAACAAAGUAAAACCAAUGAAUUCUAUGAGCAUAAGCCCACUGCCACACUUCUUUGGCUGUGAAAUGGGUUCCUUGGUCAGAAGCAAUGCUGUGUGGAACAACAUGAUGGUGAAUAAGGCAUUCAGUAAGUCCAUGGAUGGAGUUUUGGCAGAAGCCUUGCAUGAAUGGAAGACAAAUCCAUAUCUAAAGUGUCUAUUCCAGUAAAGACAUACAGCUGCCCCUUCCAUGAUAGAAGCAGUCCCCUGUAAUCAACCUGCCACCAGAUAACUGAUCACUCUGGGGAAUGGUACUAUAUCAGGAGUUCAAUGUUUGUCUCUUGCUGGCAGAAUGGACACUCAGGAGUGGCUGUAGCAAGGCUGGCAUUGGUAAGUGGGGGUCCAUGUUCCUGAGUCCAUGCAUAAACACUAUCCCUGCCAUCAUGGCCACUUCGCUUAUGAGCCCAUUGGGCAAUGACGGGGUGGCUAGGGAAAAAGGCCUACUGGUAUCCACAGAACAGGUCAUUCUAUUCACUUGAUUAUUAAAAUUCUCCUCUGCUGAGGUCAUCCUUUGGUGAGCAUUCAUAUGGCACACAAAUACCAUCACAUCUUUUGCCCAGUCAGAGAGGUCUAUCCACAAACCUCUUCCCCAAAUUUCUCACCAAUUUUCCAAUCAUGUUCCUUUCAAGUUCUUGACCAUUCAGCCAAUCUAUUCACUACAGCCCAUGAAUCAGCAUGUCAUCACAUAUCUGGCCAUUUUUCCUUCCAAACAAAGUGCACGACGAGGUGCACUGCCUGAAAUUCUGUUCACAGGAGGAUUUCCCUUCACUACUUUCCUCCAGGGAUGUUCUAGAAAGGGGCUGCAGUGCUGUAACUGUCCACUUUCAGGUGGUGCUUGCAUAUAUGAAGUACCAUCUGACAACUAGACCUAGUCUUCUCUUCCUCUAUCAGCUGGUCAUAGGGUCCUCCCCAUGAGGCUGUAAGUGCAGGUUGGGAGAGAGAAGAGAGGCUGUAGCAGCAGAAAACAGGCAUUUGGGUCCCUUCCUUAGGGAAUCUCCUUUACCUUCAGGAUCUGCUCAGGUUGAUCAAGUAUACCCCACUUCCAUUUGAUGAUGGAGUGCUGCUGUACUCACCCAACUUUAUGGCUUGCUGCAUUAGAUAACACCCAGUUCAUGAUAGGCAGUUCAGGUCACAUGGUAACUUGGUGGCCCAUGAUCAAGCAUUCAGUUUCUACUAAGGUCCAGUAGCAAGCCAAGAGCUAUCUUUCAAAAGGAGGGUAGUUAUCUGUGGUUGAUGGCAGGGCCUUGCUCCAAAAUCAUAAAGGCCUCUACUGUGAUUUACCAAUGGGGUCCUGCCAAAGGCUCCAAACAGCAUCCCUAUCUGUCACUGACAUCAUAAGUACCAUUGAAUUAGCUGGAUCAUAUGGUCCAAGUGGCAAUGCAGCUUGCAUAAUAGCCAGGAUCUGUUGCAGCCCCUCUUGCAUCUAGAAGCUUUUCCAGUCACUCAGUAAACGGGCCACAUCAACAUACCCAAGUGAGGAAAGUGUUGCUUCCAAAAUCCAAAAAGGCCCACUAGGCAUUGUUUCUUAGUUACAAAAAAGGCCAGAUGCAAGAACUUAUCCUUCAUCUUAGAACGGAUAGCUCAACAGGCCCCAAACUAUAGGACCCCUAGAAAUUUCAAUGAGAUAGAAGGCCUUUGAAUUUAGUAAAACACAAAUGUUUUACCAGUAAGCCCACAGUGGUUGCUACUUCUUACGAGGAACAAUCAGCCUAAUGUCAUCAAUGUAAUGGACCAGUAUGAUAUCUUACGGAAGGGAAGGCAAUCAAGAUCUCUAAACUAAAUUAUGACAUAGGGCUAGAAACUUGAUAUACACCUAAGGCAAGACAGUGAGGGUGUUUUGCUGACCCUUAUGGACAAGUAUAGAGAAAAAUGCAUUUGCCAGUUCAAUAGCUGCAUACCAGGUACCCAGAGAUGUGUUAAUUUGCCCAAGCAAUGAAACCACAUCUGGUACAACAGCUGUAACUGGAGUCACCACUUGGUUAAGCUUACUGUCUAAUGACAAUAAUCUACUGUCAUUCCCCAAGAUCCAUCUGUCUUCUACACAGGGCAGAUAGGAUUGUUAAAUGAGAAUGGGCGGGGAACCACCACCUCUGCAUCUUUAGAGUCCUUCCUGGUGGCACUAAUCUCUGAAAUCCCUCCGUAGAUGUGAUAUUAUUUUUGAUUUAGUAUUUUCCCUGGUAGACGCAGCUCUAAUGGCUUCCAUUUGGCCUUUCCCAUCAUAAUAUCCCUCAUUCCACAGAUGAGGCAACCAAUGUGGAAAUUCUGCUCAGUAUGCUAAGUAUGUCUAUUCCAACUAUGCAUUCUGGAACUGGGAAGGUGACCACAGGAUGGGUUUGGGGACUCACUGGACCCACUGUAAGUCAAACCUGAGCUAAAAACUCCACUGAUCACCUGACCUCUAUAAGCUGCUACUCUGACUGGAGGGCCACUGUAUUUUGGGUCUCCUGAAAUCAGUGUCAGUUCAGAGUCAGUUAUUAGUAGUUCCCUGACAGUUCUGAUGACUUCUUUCCCCAAUGCACAGUCAUCUAGUAAAAGGGUGUAAGUAUUAACAGUAUAAAUGUUUGGUAGUAUACCCAAAUAAAGGGUAGUGUACCCUUUAUUCAAAGGGUUCUGGGUCUAUAAACUGGUUCAAGUCUGGAAAUUGAGCAGCCAUGAUUAUCUGUUUUUAGUAUUUGAGUUAGACUUUUGUUUACUUGACCUGGAAGUUUUCUGCUUAUACACAUCAAGUAAGAACAUAGUAAGCUUCCCAUCUAUUUCACUUCUAGGAACACCAAGAUUAAUUAGCCAAAGCCAAAGGUCUACAUGAGUUAUUCUGAUUGUUGCUUUGCCUCUGCUAUUCCUUCAUUAGGGUAACUAUGCCCACUUUGCCUUUGGCAGUUGAGUUUUGCCACUUGGACCCUGCCACCUUGGAAUCCAACUAUUCCCAUUCUUUCCCAAUCAGUGCCCUCACUUUAACAGUAAACAUCCUGUGAGGCUGAGUGCACCUUUCUUUGUAGGUAAAAAUAGUUGCAUGAUCAGGGAUUGCAUUUGGGUUUUGGUAAUUUCAACCCUAAGGCUGUUGGGGAGAAGAUUCUCCUUCAGAGAACACUUAGAAGUUUCUGGACUAUUUAUGUAUACCUGGAGCUGAGAAUUCAAAUCUCUGAGCUCAUCUUUUUCUUUCAUUACUUUGUCCAGCAAUAUUAGUAGCAACCAACUAAUGUCAUUGUUUCUUGACUUUCCACAAAUGUCCUAAAAUAUCAUGUACAGACUUACUAAGCGCAUUGCUUCUUGUAAGUGGUGAAUUAGGAGUGUCACAAGCAUUUAUUUUGUAUAUCUCUAUAAACAGCUCAGCAAUGGACUAUCAGUGCUGUCUGUACUGUUAGAAAUAGAGUCUCUAGCAUUUUUAGCUCUAAUCAGAUUAGAGGGCCAAUUCCAGAAACCCCAAAACCAAUUAAGAAAAUCCACCCUUAAAAUUCUGUUCCUCUGGAAGUACUCCUGGUAUCAAACCCUCAUCUUAUUUCCCUAGUUCUUAAGGCAGUUCUUGAUGAUGUUUCUUGAAAUUAUGCCUAGAGCAGCAAAAGGAAAAAUCAAAGUAAUUCUUAAAAUGAUUCAACCCAAGGGGAAUCUCAGUUGAUCCUAAGACCAGGAGAGGAGGAACAAGACUAUCUUUGAAAAAACCAUCUCAGGCAAGGUACAGUGGCUCAUGCCUGUAAUCCCAGCACUUUCGGAGGCCAAGGCAGGAGGAUCACUUGAGCCAGGAGCCAACAAAUCAUGGAUAAGAACGGACUACUGUAAUGACAGUCUUGUUGUUACCAAAUGCUAUGGUUUGAGUAUCCCACUAAAACUCAUGUUGGGACCUUAAUUCCCAGUGCAGCAAUAUUGGGAGAUGGAACCUUUAAGAAGUGGAGCCUAAUGGGAGGCAUCUGGGUUGUGGGGACUCCCUCUUCCCUUAUGGGCAGUGUGCUGCCAAUUCUUGCGUUAGUGAGUGAUCUCUCUCUCACAUGAGACAGGAUUAGUUUCUGAGAGCAAGCUGUUAGGAAGCGAUUACAACUCUCAUGUUUUGCCCCUCUACACAUAUUCUCUUCCUCCUUGACUUCUGCCAUGUUAUGACAUAGCACAGAAGCCAAGCAGAUGCUGGCCCCUGCUCUUGGACUUCCCAGCCACCAGAAUCAUGAGCCAAAUAAACCUCUUUUCUUUAUAAAUUACCCAGCCUCAUGGAUUCUAUUAUGGCAAUACUGAAGAGACCAACACCAUGAUUUCAGAAAAUAAGACUGGCUGAGAUGCAUGUGUCAUGUUAAUGUAUAAAAACAACAGUCACAGUACUGCUGAACUCCACUACCUCUCACCAUCAGUGAAGAAACUUCUACAGCACUAAGGAGAAGGCCCAUUUGGUAGACCCAACUUGGAUGACUUGGGAUCAUGGAGGUAAUCCCAAGUAGUAAACAGUAGAUCUUAGUUACAAUACAGAUUUACAGUCACAUGUCCUCUGGUAGGCUGUACAGUAGUUAGGGAGUGAGUUCCCUGCUAUAAUUGUGAGUCAUGCAUUGACAUGGCUCUCCCUAUGCUAUGGCAUGGAAAAUAUACAUGAGCUCCUUCUUUGAGUAGGGAAAAUAUUCAUAUAGGUGUCUUCUAUUUAAUUAAAAAGAAACUAUGAAAUAAAGCACUCUAAAGAAUGCUUUCUUUAUUCACAUGCUGAAUCCUUUGUGCUAGCAAGAAAAAUAGAGACUAUAGAAUAUGUCUUUCUCAUGGAGCUAAACAAAGAGGCUACUUGCUGAUUAAUUAAAUUGAGAUAAAAGCAUCACAUAUUAUGUUUGACUAUGUUAUAUUCUCCAUCAUAAGGUACAAAUCUCUCUUUUGUUUUCCUCAUUUUCAAUCCAAAGAGAUAAGGAUUUUUGCCAAAUUGUUCUACUAAUGGAGCCCAUCUUAACCCAUCUAAGAUGUGAACAUCUUUUUUUCUGGUUGACAUCAAGGUUUGUGAAAUAGGUUUUAUAUAUUGCCAGCCAACAUAGUACACUGUACAGGUGAUGGUGACAGGACAUAAAUUGUACCUGUUGUUAAUCUCUUCAGGUACAAACUAAAUGAAACUGAACUUGUGACUUUGUUCUUUCCUAAUUUAAACCAAAUCCUUUGUUUCAUGAAUAAAAAGAUAAUUUAGUAAAAUUUCCUGUCUCUCUGUUAUAGCUGCUUACAGAGUGAAUAAAAGUGUUUUAGACAGUCUGCCAACAAUAUAGUCCUCUGCUUUUCCAGCAUUUUAUCCCUUAAAAUUUCUGAAGUUGAUCAUAAAGAAUCUACAAGAUUGCUGAAGAUGUUUUUCAGACCCCCAAUUCCAGAAACCAGGUUGAAGAUCCACACAGAGGCACAGAAGCAGCAUGAGAACACAGCUUCUUCAUUCCUGUGCCCCCAGCGAUCUUUCCACUUCAGCCCACUCCAAAACCCUAAAAACCUGAACCCUAAGUGCCUUGGGGGCAGAUGGAUUUAACGUAGUCUCUCAUCUUCUCAGUUGCUGACCCUACGAUUAAACCUCUUUUCUCUGCUGCAA